rnacentral:rRNA from 1 species
GUCCACGCCCUAAACGAUGAACACUAGGUGUGGGGGGCAUAGCAUUCCGUGCCGCAGCUAACGCAAUAAGUGUUCCACCUGGGGAGUACGGCCGCAAGGUUGAAACUCAAAGGAAUUGACGGGAGCCCGCACAAGCAGUGGAGUAUGUGGUUUAAUUCGAAGCAACGCGAAAAACCUUACCAAGGAUUGACAUCCAGAGAAGGCUGGGUAAUGCCGGCUGUGCCCUUCGGGGAACUCUGAGACAGGUGGUGCAUGGUUGUCGU